GUAUUGAUUUAAUAUCUUAUUCUACAAUGAGAUUAAAAAGUAAUAAGUCAAUAUUUAAAAACAAGUUCCUAAAUAAGUUUAUAAAUGUAUGAAACAGUGUUAAAAAUCUUUUAAAAAUUGUGCAAUACACCUUUAAUAGUGGUUUUAGUGAUGGCUUGACCAACCAAUAGCUGGCAUGGUCUGAUGUCACAUCAGCCAAUAAGGUUGGUUGUCCCGCCCUCCCGCUGCGUGGUGCAGGGAGACUGCUCUGAUUGUAUCAGACGCGGCUUGAGUGAUCCAUGCUACUUGUUGCUUCUGUGGCUAGCUUGGAAAUUAGCAGACGAAACUUGAACAUCAAAGCUUCUGAUGCGACCGGGUUGGAAGCUGGAAAUCUCCGUGUAGCCUCGUGUAGCAUCGGUCAGGUUUUUUGUUGGUGCACUAUUUGAUCCAUAGUGCUACUGUGAAGACUGGAUUGCAUUUCCAGAACUGGAUGGCGAGCCCCAGCCCAAGGAUCGGACAAACCGGUAGAUAGUGACCCGACUGGUCACUAUAACUGAGACAUUGCAUGAACAAUUGAUGGACACUGUGACAAAAGACUAAAAAGGAAAAAAGAUUACAGACUGGAUUAUUUAUUUCUAAUUGUUUAUUUUCCUUGUGUUGUUUUUGUUUUGGGUUUUAAAAGGGAAAAGCACGCAGUUUGUUAAUUGUGUGUAU